GUUUUUUAUGUCUUGUCAAUGCUGAUUGGUGGUAAUUGCCAACCUCCUGAUUGUCAAACACUAUUAUGGCGCAAUUCCACUGGAUGAACGAAACCAUGGUGGGCUGUGCCGGAACCAGAACAAACUAGCCUUGUUGGUUCUUGUUUGUUUUCCAUUUGCAGUUGAACUGAAAACAGGACUAGGUUUAAUUGUCGAGAAAAACUGUUAGUGUAAAUUUUAAGACAGCGACCGAUGACGCAAUUCAACAGCGAAAUUGUUGUGAUCCUUGGUGACUGGCAUUUUUAAGUAUGGAGGAGUUGGCCGGGCUAUUUUGUGUCAUCCUUUUACAUUUUAUUAAUGGGCAGCAAUCUAGACUGAACGAGAGGAGACAGCUGAAAAGAGAUGGAGAAAUACACAAUACACCCAACUCCACCAACACCGUUUGGACAACAAAGCGCCUGGACCAAAACCAAACUAUUAGCAUGACAGACCAAGCCUGAUCACUUGGUUCAGUGGGUCUCUCCCUUUUUGGUUACUACACCCCCUAUCACAUGAUUUUACCCUGAUUAAUAAAGUACUGAUAUACUCCCUUGUGUUCAUUUUACCAUUAGACAUAUGUUCUUAUAAGUUUUGUUUCUUACUUCCUGUGAAUAACCUACUACACAAUUAUAUCUUCUAUGUUCGACCAACGUUUGUUGUUUAAUAAAAGUGUGUAAAUAAUG